rnacentral:tRNA from 1 species
AUUUUUAUAGUUUAAAAAAAACAUCAGAUUUUCUUCCUGAAAAUUUCCAAUUGGAAUAAAAAUU